CUUGAACGGUUAUUAAGGAUCAAAACAAGAGACUAAGUCCAGAUAUGACAACAAAAAUCACAAUACAGGUCAGUAGGGAGGAUAAAAUUGGCUCUCAAACAAGAAGUAAUCUUAAAAAAAGAUGAUAAUUUUAGGGUUAAGGAUUAACAAAAUGCUUUCCCAGAGGAGUUUACAGAAGGAGACAUCCCUCUCAUACGCAAGUCAAUCUGAGGACGUCACUGGAAGAUCUGGAUUCUUGUGUUCAAGCAGUGAUGAUAAACUGUCAAAACAUGACAGUGCAUUGAAGACACAGUGACAGCAGGAAUGUGUGAAAAAUACACUGUUUAAAUAUGUGCAAAACAACUUUUCAUUUAUGGGUGAGACACUCCAACAAUUCUAUAAGAACUUGCAGUGAAAAGUUGGUGUCACGUUGAGACAUGGAUGAAACACACGGCGAAGGAAAUGAAUCAACAUAGUAAUAAUGUUUAAUAAAAGCACCCAAAAGGAACGCAGGAGGGAACUGAUAACGUCAACGCGGAAACAGAACCAGGUGCAGGGCUAAUUAACAAUCAAACUAAAGAGAACAGGAACAGAACCAAAUAUGGACAAACAGGAACCAAGGCUGGGGAGAACAUCUUGUAAAAACAAAAUGCUGUAAAGUGAGGAUGUAUUUAAAGAAUAAUACCAUUCAUAAUAGAUUAUUUUUUUUUAGUAAGUUAACCUCUGUUACUUUUUUUAGUAAGUUGAUCUCUGUUAACUAAAUCAAAUAAUG